rnacentral:misc_RNA from 1 species
AACGCACAUUGCGCCCUCUGGUAUUCCGGGGGGCAUGCCUGUUCGAGCGUCAUUUCAAACCCUCAAGCUCCGGCUUGGUGUUGGGCGCCGUCCGCCUGAGGACGCGCCUGAAACUCGUAGGCGGUCGCGCGCGGCUCCUCAGCGUAGUCAAGUUCUCGCUCUGGACGCCCGCGUGCGGCCCCGCCUGGGAAACCACUCAUCUCAAAGGUUUGACCUCGGAUCAGGUAGGGAUACCCGCUGAACUUAA